CCCUUCCGGUCUUCGAGACCGCGUCUUCAACUUGCCGCAGGACCCCACGAAAGUGGCCAGAAAUGCGGACGAGGCGAAGUAACCCUCGACUAUGAGUACCUUUUGUUCCCUCGGCGGGCUCGCGCCCGUCGCUGGGCCCAUCCAAACCCCUUUGCAGUAGCAGUAUACCUCUGAUCGUGGGCACUUGAAUCUUUA
rnacentral:misc_RNA from 1 species